rnacentral:lncRNA from 1 species
UUUCUCUGCCAAUCUCGUCACUUAUUUGAAUUUUUCCGUAAAAAACUACUCCUCUGAUUUUAACAAGUCAUCUUAAAAGCAAUAUCUUAAAAUCAAAAUACAAUAAUAAGCAUAUCCUUGUCUUGCUUUGUCAAACAAAUAAUCUGUUCAAUUUUUCUAUAAUUACUCUUUUCAUGUUCCUAAGUCUUCUUAGAGCCCUCGCCUUUCUAGAAUGCUAUGAUUUUUUUCCCACCGAUAAGGACUAAGAACAAUGCAAUAAUCUUUUUGAUGGAUGCUACUUUGCCAAUACAAUCGAUGCAAAUUAUAUGAUAAAAUAAAAAAAAUGGAGGCAAACUUUUCGAGAGCAGUAAAUAUGCAAACAUUAUUUGUCUAGGCUGCGCAUGAUGCCAUAUAAUGCAUCUCUACUCAAAUUCCUACUCAGUCGGCUUGUAUGCUCUCCAUUCAUCAUCCUACUAUAGGUAAAAAAUACAUAUAUAUUAUAUAAUUCAAAAUUUCUUUGUAGUUACAUAAUCUCCUUUUAUCUUCUUCACUGUUACAGUUUUUUUAGGGGACGGAAUUAUGAUGUCCUCAA